AGGAGAUUGGAGAAGGCUUCUUAGGGGAGUAACAGCUGAGUUAGGAUUCUGCAGAAUGAAUAUGCAGUUUUCCAGAUUCAGGAAAGGUUUUAUCUAGGGAAACAUAAUAGCACACAUAAGGUGACGUGUGUUUAUGGCAGCCGGGGAGUACUGUGGUGGUGAUAGUGGGAAGUGAGAUGGCAAAGAGGAAAAGGGCCAGAUGAUGAUUAAAUGCCUUACCUGCCGCAGUGAGAGCAUACACACAUGCUCUGAUAGCACUUCUUAGACGGGAAUUCUGAGGGUCAAAGCAUGCCAUCCUGGGGUUGGCCCAUGGCAGCACCAGCCAUGAAGAGCAGCCAGCCUGGCAGGUGUGGAGAGGCCCCAGAGAACCACAGAAGCAGCCGCAGAAGUGAUGAGUGAGCAAUCUCCAGGUAACUAGAUCUGUUUUGCAACAGGGGCUGAAAACCUAACCUAAUGCUGGCCACCAAUAGGGCUAAACAGUGUUAGCAGGUACUGUCAGCAGGCCUCAGGCAGAAGCAGACAAGAAGGGGAAAUGCCACAAGACUAGGCCGUGCAACAUUUCCGCAGUGCUCCUCGCUACAAAGACAUUCCCCUAAGGCUGGUGGGCAACUCAACACUCAGCUCAGUACGUGGUCAGCUCGUCCUCCAUAGGAGCCUUAUGCCUUGGUGAGGAGAUCUCUGAAGAAAUUGCUGAUGAAAGUCCAACAGGCUCUUCCAGUUUGUCUGGUCGGUCACAUUUGCUGAAACCUGGAGGAAUUGUUAGUGGAAGCUCAACAGGCCUGACUCAGUCUGACUGUCCAUUCUUCUGGAAGCUGCAGAGAAAAGAAACCUGGAAACCUUAUAUGCUGACAAAAAGGGACACAAUUGGAUAUGAUGGUUAUUUUACCAAGGUUUUGAAAUGUCGUGCUUUCAAAUAUAAACAGACUGCUUUAAGGAAUCGAAGUUGACUUAUAGAGCCAAUAAAAGCCCUGCAGGAAAGCUGGCCUCAUACUUUGUCUACACAGUCUCUGUACAGGUUUCCUGACCUGUGGCUGGAGUGGAAUUGCGCGAUAUCGGC
rnacentral:lncRNA from 1 species